rnacentral:misc_RNA from 1 species
GAUGAAGAACGUAGCGAAAUGCGAUACUUGGUGUGAAUUGCAGAAUCCCGUGAACCAUCGAGUCUUUGAACGCAAGUUGCGCCCGAAGCCAUUAGGCCGAGGGCACGCCUGCCUGGGCGUCACACGUCGUUGCCCCCCCCAUCUACUCCUUCGGGAUUGCGGGGGGCGGAUGAUGGCCUCCCGUGCGCCUCGCCGCGCGGUUGGCAUAAAUGCCAAGUCCUCGGCGACGCACGCCACGACAAUCGGUGGUUGCGAAACCUCGGUUGCCCGUCGUGUGCGGUCGUCGCGCAUCGAGGGCUCGAAAAAAUUGCCGAGUUCCGGCUCGGCUUUCAACGCGACCCCAGGUCAGGCGGGGUUACCAGCUGAAUUUAAGCAUAUCAAUAAGCGGAGGA